GGCGGCUUCGGCUGUCACUUAUGGCUGGACCCGCGUCGCAUUAGCUAGUUGGUGAGGUAACGGCUCACCAAGGCAACGAUGCGUAGCCGACCUGAGAGGGUGAUCGGCCACACUGGGACUGAGACACGGCCCAGACUCCUACGGGANGCAGCAGUAGGGAAUCUUCCGCAAUGGACGAAAGUCUGACGGAGCAACGCCGCGUGAGUGAUGAAGGCUUUCGGGUCGUAAAACUCUGUUGUUAGGGAAGAACAAGUGCUAGUUGAAUAAGCUGGCACCUUGACGGUACCUAACCAGAAAGCCACGGCUAACUACGUGCCAGCAGCCGCGGUAAUACGUAGGUGGCAAGCGUUAUCCGGAAUUAUUGGGCGUAAAGCGCGCGCAGGUGGUUUCUUAAGUCUGAUGUGAAAGCCCACGGCUCAACCGUGGAGGGUCAUUGGAAACUGGGAGACUUGAGUGCAGAAGAGGAAAGUGGAAUUCCAUGUGUAGCGGUGAAAUGCGUAGAGAUAUGGAGGAACACCAGUGGCGAAGGCGACUUUCUGGUCUGUAACUGACACUGAGGCGCGAAAGCGUGGGAGCAACCAGAUAA
rnacentral:rRNA from 1 species